GGCGCUAUGGUGUAGUGGCAGCACAUGGGAUUUUGAUGAUAGGUUGGAAUGCUAUUGAAUUGUUCCCACAACCCAGGUUCGAACCCUGGUAGUGCCU